GGUCUUGUAAUUGGAAUGAUGGAGAUUUAAACCUCUUCCAGAGUAUCAAUUGGAGGGCAAGUCUGGUGCCAGCAGCCGCGGUAAUUCCAGCUCCAAUAGCGUAUAUUAAACUUGUUGCAGUUAAAAAGCUCGUAGUUGAAUUUCUGCCGUUUUUUAUUAGUUUCCUUACGGUAAAUUAUUAUAAAUCGGCAUUUGUCGUUAAAAGUAUUAAAAUAUUUUUAUCGAUAAUGUUACUUUGAGAAAAUUAGAGUGCUUAAAGCAGGCCUAGCCUUGAAUAAUUUAGCAUGGAAUAACAUAGUAGGACUUUGGUUCUAUUUUGUUGGUUUUAGGAACCAAAGUAAUGUUUAAUAGGAACAGUUGGGGGCAUUCGUAUUUAACGUCU
rnacentral:rRNA from 1 species